rnacentral:rRNA from 1 species
UACGUAGGGCGCAAGCGUUGUCCGGAAUUAUUGGGCGUAAAGAGCUCGUAGGCGGCUUGUCACGUCGGGUGUGAAAGCCCGGGGCUUAACCCCGGGUCUGCAUUCGAUACGGGCAGGCUAGAGUGUGGUAGGGGAGAUCGGAAUUCCUGGUGUAGCGGUGAAAUGCGCAGAUAUCAGGAGGAACACCGGUGGCGAAGGCGGCCCUCUGGACGGAUACUGACGCUGAGACGCGAAAGCGUGGGGAGCAAACAGG